UACAGAGGUGGCAAGCGUUGUUCGGAAUUACUGGGCGUAAAGGGCGCGUAGGCGGCUUGGUCAGUCCCGUGUGAAAUCCCUCGGCUCAACUGAGGAACUGCACGGGAAACUGCCUGGCUUGAGUUCGGGAGAGGGAAGCGGAAUUCCGGGUGUAGCGGUGAAAUGCGUAGAGAUCGGAAAGAACACCAACGGCGAAAGCACUCUGCUGGGCCGACACUGACACUGAGAGACGAAAGCUAGGGGAGCGAAUGGG
rnacentral:rRNA from 1 species